rnacentral:lncRNA from 1 species
CGGGACUGGAGGAAGCCACCAACCAACGAAGUACUGGGCCUGUGGGUAUUCGUCUCUCUCCCCGCCCCUGAGAGUCUGGGAAAGGCUGACACGUGGUGCCUUCAGGCUCUGGGGCCUAGGACCUUUGUGGUAGCAGAGUCACUGCAGAGAACCAGACAAUACCAGGUUGCUUAUAAAAGGAUGCCAUGUGCUUGCUGGAGGUCCCAGGUGCAACCAAAUUGCUUGCAGCUAGGAGGACCUUGAAGAGAAAUGGGAUCAGCCCGCCAAACCAAGAAGGGUUAGCACUUUUGCUAGGAGAGCUGACCACGCACAAACAGAUGAGAACCAAAACCGAGUGAAGAGGAUUGAAGAUGAACCCACAUUUUAAAAGUUCUUGUCUGCUGGAGGUGGCAUUACCUGUGACCUCGCUUCACUUCUCCAUACAUGGCUGUUAUAGCAGAAAAUCCAGCUUUCUGAAGCAUAUUUCACGACAUAUGAUGAGACUUAUGUGAUGUGAGACCUGAGAAAACUAUGAUAGAAAGAAGCAACUCAAGUUGCAAGGAUAUUCCUCAUGUAUCAUGCAAGGAUAUUCCUCAUAUAUCAUAGACUAAGGUGUCAGUAUGUUCUUCAAGCUGCUCUGCUCCUGGGCCCAAGCUAUUCUCCUGCCUCAGCCUUCCAAGAAGCUGAAACUACAAGAACACAAGACUGUACCUGGCUUGCAAACACCAUUGCUAAUAAGAAGAUAUUGUAAGACUGAUACCUAAGAGAUAAGAGGCCCUCCCUCCGUUGCCCAGGUGGGAGUGCAGUGGUGUGAUGUCAGUUCACUGCAACCUUGGCCUCCCGGAUUCAAGCGAUUCUCCUGCCUUAACCUUCCGAACAUGGAUCCCUGAGGUCGGUCCCCAAUACGACAAGACAAUUUGAUAUCAUAAUAGAACACUGCAGAAACAAUGCUGAGUGAAGAAGAGUAGAAAUGGGAAGACUUGGUUGAGCGGAAACUGAGUUCUUGAAAAGAGGAGAUGCUUGAUGAGGGCAUGGAUCCCUGAGGUCUGCCCCAGUACUAUAAGACAAUUUGAUGUAAGAAAACACAGCAGAUAUAAUACUGAGUGAAGAAGAGUAUAAAUGAGAAGAUUGGUUGUGCAGAUACUGAGUUCAUGAAAAGAGGAGAUGAUUGAUGAGGCCAGGUGCGGUGACUCAUGCCUGUAAUCCCUGCACUUUGGGAGGCUGCGGCGGGCGGAUCACCUGAGGUCAGGAGUUCGAGACCAGCCUGGGAGACAGAGCAUGGAAACCUAAGGUCUGUACCCAAAACUACAGGACUAUUUGACAUCAUAAUAAAACACUGCAGAUAUGAUGCUGAGUAAGAGUAGAAAUGGGAAGACUUGGUUGUGCAGUAACUGAGUUCUUGAAAAGAGGAGAUGCUUGAUGAGGGCAUGGAUCACUAAGGUCUGUUCCCAAUACAAGAAGACUCUUUGACAUCAUAAUAAAAUACUGCAGAUACGAUGCUGAGUGAAAAAGAGUAGAAAUGGGAAGACUUGGUUGUGCAGAAACUGAGUUCUUAAAGAGAGGAGAUACUUUAUGAGGGCUGGAGUGCACUGGAGCAAUCCUGGCUGGCCAAUACUGAGUUCUUGAAAACAGGAGAUGCUUGAUGAGGAUGGGAUCAUCUAGUUGCAGGAAAACAAGGCUCAGGGUGCCUACUGAUUCUACAUUAUGUUGCAGGGCUUUGACUCCUGGGUACAUGUAUCUCAUCUGAAAGGGAAUCCUGACGCCUACUGAAUCUUAAUAGUCAAUAUUGAUAUCUGGCAUCAAAUUCAAGUUGACCAAAGUUCCAUCUUCAGACCUGGGAGAAGAUGACAGUCAAAAUGAACUGCUUUCAUGUGACACUGGACCAGGCCUAUAUACAAAGGCAUAAGUAAUCAUUGAAUAAUGUUUCAUCUAUCUAUCUUAAUAUAAUUUGUUCUAUGCCUUACUAGAUAAAUGUUUAGUUACCUGUGAGUUUUCUUUUCCUGCCAUUGUCAGAGCUAGGCAGGGCUUAAGUCCCUUUCGUUUAAACAUUACUAACUCUAUACAUAGCUUGCAAAAUUGGAUAAAACAACAAAGGUUACUUUUUCACUCUCUCUCUGCUUAAUAUCUCUGAAAUUUAAAACUAUUCAGAAUCCCACUGGGCCCGAUCUAUUUUCAAUGCUAAUGCUCCACUGCUAAAACUAUAUAAGCAUCUUCCCUCUAGGCUCAGGCACUAUCUUGGAAGAGGUAAAUGUGUAAGAUUGUAAAGGUUGAUUUUUGAGCAACAAAAUUAAUUUAGAUCUUCCAAAUAAAAAAUGGGCACACAGAUGCCCAAACAGUUGGCAAAAUAAGAUACUUUACCUCCUGGACCAGUAUGUGGACCUUUUUCAUCCAUCCCAACCAUAAUUUCCUCUUUCCUGUAGAAUUAAAAGAAAAUUGCAAAGAGGAUAUGAACUUUUCUGGUAAGAAAACCUCCUGGGUAUAGUGCUCCCAGUUAUGAGAUUUAUGCAGAUUGUUAUAUAAAGUUUUUUUAAAUCAAGCACCUUAGGACAAACUAUUAAAAAGACUGCUAAAAGCGUUGUGACACAACAAAAGUCUCUAAAUUCUGUAGCUUAAAAAGUUUUAACAAAGUACUUAUCUUUUGCAAGCUAAUUGCUACAAGUCUAUAACUAAAACAUGUAUUGACUGAUGUCUUAGGUCUCCCUAAAAUAUAUAAAACCAAGUUGUAAACCAAUCACCUUGGACACAUGUUCUCAGGACCUCUGGAGACUGUGCCUUGGGCCAUGGUCACUCAUAUUUGGCUGAGAAUAAAAUUUUAAAAAUAUUUUACAGAGUUGGGUUUUUCUUGUUGGCUUUUUCAUAAAAUGUAAAAUGUUUGAGAAAGACACUUCUCAAGUGGCCAAGUGAGGAUAUUCUAGCUUAAUGCGUAGAAUUUAUAGCUAAGUCAAUUUUGUAACCUUGCCUUUUGACUUUUGGUUCUUGAUGCUUACAUUACAAAAUUUUAAGGUUUGAUAAAUGCCUGCUCCACUUCCAUUCCCAUCUGGCCUAGGAUAUUUAAAUUGGCUAUAAGUCUUUUGGCUCUACAUCUGUUGGCCGUGAGUCCCCACCAAGGGAUAGGAUAGACCCAGGGCACAUAGCCACACCACCCCAGCAAUGGUAUGCAACAAAAUGAUAGUUUGGCCAUUGAUGUUGCCUCUGGGAAAUUUUUUUUUUUUUUUUGACGAAGUCUUGCUCUGUUGCCCAAGCUGGAGUGCAGUGGUGUGUUCUAGGCUGACUGCAACCUUUGCUUCCUGGGUUCAAGUGAUUCUCUUGCUUCAGCCUCCCAAAUGGCUGGUAUUACAGACGUGCACCACCACACCUGGCUAAUUUUUUUUUUUUUUUUUUGAGACAGAGUCUCACUCUGUCAUUCAGGCUGGAGUGCAGUGGCACAAUCUCGGUUCACUGCAACCUCCAUUUCCCGGGUUCAAGUGAUUCUCCUGCCUCAGCCUCCUGAGUAGCUGGGAUUAUAGGCAUGCACCACCAGGCCCAGCUAAUUUUUGUAUUUUUUUGUAGAGAUGGGGUUUCGCCAUGUUAGUCAGGCUAGUCUCGAACUCCUGACCUCGUGAUCCACCUGCCUCGGCCUCCCAAAGUGAUGGGAUUAUAGGCGUGAGCCACUGUGCCUGGCCUAAUUUUAGUAUUUUUAGUAGAGAUGGGGUUUCGCAAUGUUGGCCAGGCUAGUCUCGAACUCCUGACUUCAGGUGAUCUGCCUGCCUUGGCCUCCCAAAGUGCUGGGAUUACAGGUGUGAGCCACCACGCUUGGCCUCCUCUGCUCAAUCCUGACCAGAAAAAUCAAAUUCUAACUCCCCCAAUCAACUGAAUUCCCCUCCAUUCAUCUGCCAAGGGGAUUCUAAAGAAUCCUGAAAACUAGUUCAGGCCAUGACAAUUGACAUUAAAACAGAUCUUAAAACUGACAAAACAGAUUCUUUGUAGCAAUAAGAUACCAAAUUUCAACCUGACUCAGGUAUAACUUCACAUGAUAAAAAAGGAAAUAAAAAUAUUUUACCCCCAAAAUAGAUUUCUUUGACAUAUUUUGAAAUGGCCCUGCAAGGCAGUUGGGGAAAUUUUGCAUCUGUAAAGCAUCUCCUUAACAUAACUAGAUCUUUCCCCUUCCAGGCCCUCCUAAACCUGAAGAGAUUAACUGAGAUUCUAGCACCUUUUAAAGUCUACAUAGGAAACAUUCACCAUUUAUUAUCUCUAAGGGCAGCCACUUAUGAGACUUCAUCUAUGUAAUAAAAACCUUGGUCUCCACAACCCCUUAUGUUAACCCAGACACUCCUUUCUAUUGAUUCCAGGUCUUUAGAAAAUAACUUAACUCCUCCAAGCAAUUGCCAAACAGAAAACCUUGGCAUCUUCCUAUGACCUGUAAGCACCCACUUUCCCCUGCUUUAAGUUGUCCUACCCUUCUGCACCAAACCAAUGUAUACCUCACAUGUAUUGAUUGAUGUCUUCUGUCUCUCUAAAACAUAGAAAAGAAAGCUGUAACCCAACCACCUUGGUCAGGACGUCUUGAGACUGUGCCUUGCGCCAUGGUCAGUCGUAUUUUGUGCAGAAUAAACAUUUUUCAAUAUUUUACAGAGUUUGGCUUUUUUGUUGACUUUUUUCAUAAAACAUGAAAGAUUAUGUUUGAGAAAGGCGUUUCUCAAGUGACCAUGUGAAGAUGUUGGGAAAUCCUCUCGCCAAAGAACAACUAUGAAAUGGACAAAACCAACCAUUUCUGUGCUCUGGAAAUUAAAUGUGCACAACAAUGUUAAACUUUGGGCAAGAAAGUUUGAACUCUGAUACGGUUUUGAUUUGUGUCACUGCUGAAAUCUCUUGUGCAAUUGUGACCCUCAGUGUUGGAGGAGGGGCCUGGUGGGAAGUGAUUGGAUCAUGGGGGUGGAUUUCCCCCUUGCUGUUCUCAUGUAGUGAGUGAGUUCUCGUGAGAUCUGGUUGUUUAAAAGUGUGUAGCAUCUCCCCCUGCUCUCUUCCUCCUUCUCUGGCCAUGUAAAACCUGCCUGCUUCCCCUUUGCCUUCUACCAUGAUUGUAAGUUUCCUGAGGCCUCCACAGCCAUGCUUCCUGUACAGACUGUGGAAGUGUAAGUCAAUUAAACGUCUUUAGUCUUUAAACCUAUAAAUAUCUUUGUAACAACUUCCUUAGCUACAAUCUAUAAGUUAUUUAUAGAUUACACAGUCUCAGGUAGUUCUUAAUAGCAAUGCAAAAAUGCACUAAUACAAACCCUGUUUUGGUCUGGCCUGUGGCUGCUUCCGUAUUUCUCUUUCCUAGGUCCAUCUAUAGGGACAUUCUGCCAAGGUGAAAUAAAGACUGAUAAAAUUCCUUACUAGCAAACUUGUAUUACAAGAAAUAACUAAAAACAGUCCUUCAGUCUAAAAGGAAAUGACUCUAUAUGGUGACUUGAAUCCACAAGAAUAAAUGAAGGGCACAGGAAAUGGUAAAUAGCUGGGUUAAUAUAAAAAAGACUCUAUGUAUUGUUUUUUCAUUUUUUCUAUAUUAUCUAAAUGACCUAAGAUUAUGUGAAGUAAUAAUUAUUACAUUGUACUGUUGGUUUUAAAAUAUAUAACUGUAAUUUAUAUGAUAACAGACCAAUGUUGGAGGGGUUUGGAAAUAAAUAUGAGCAAAGUUUCUAUGUUUUACUUGAAGUAAGUUAGUAUUAAGCUGAUGUAUAUUCUGAUAGGUUAAAAUGUAUAUUGUAACCCUUAGAACAACUAUUAAAAUAAAUCAAAAGC